AUUGAACGCUGGCGGCAGGCCUAACACAUGCAAGUCGAACGGUAACAGGAAACUGCUUGCUGUUUCGCUGACGAGUGGCGGGCGGGUGAGUAAUGUCUGGGCAACUGCCUGAUGGAGGGGGAUAACUACUGGAAACGGUAGCUACUACCGCAUAACGUCGCAAGACCAGAGAGGGGGACCUUCGAGCCUCUUGCCAUCGGAUGUGCCCAGGUGGGAUUAGCUUGUUGGGGGGGUAACGGCCUACCUCGGCGACGGACCGUAACUGGUCUUUGAGGAUGAACAGGCACACGGGAACUGGAACACGGUCCAGACUCCUACGGGAAGCAGCAGGGGGGAAUAUUGGACAAUGGGCGAAAGCCUGAUGCAGCCAUGCCGCGUGUAUGAAGAAGGCCUUCGGGUUGUAAAGUACUUUAAGCGGGGAGGAAGGGAGUAAAGUUAAUACCUUUACUCAUUGACGUUACCAGCAGAAGAAGCACCGGCUAACUCCGUG
rnacentral:rRNA from 1 species